rnacentral:rRNA from 1 species
GACGAACGCUGGCGGCGUGCCUAAUACAUGCAAGUAGAACGCCGUUGCGCACGGGUGAGUAACGCGUAGGUAACUGCCUCAUAGCGGGGGAUAACUAUUGGAAACGAUAGCUAAUACCGCAUACUGUGAGAUGGACCUGCGUUGGAUUAGCUAGUUGGUGAGGUAAAGGCUCACCAAGGCGACGAUAAAUAGCCGACCUGAGAGGGUGAUCGGCCACAAGGGGGCUUGGAAAAGGCCCAGACGCCGACGGGGGGCAGCAGGAGGGAAACGUCGGAAAUGUAGGGAAGUCUGACCGAGCAACGCCGGGUGAGUGAAGAAGGGCUUCGGAGUGUAAAGGUAUGUUGUUAGAGAAGCGGGAACUAACCAGAAAGGGACGGCUAACUACGUGCCAGCAGCCGCGGUAAUAC